rnacentral:lncRNA from 1 species
AUUGCGGUAUCAUCCUCAUCAUUGUCGCUGACGAUGAAAGAAAGCCCUCGUUAAUUUUCAUCACCACAGAUAAAAUUAAUAAAGUAUUUGAUUUCUAAAUUUUCUUUCAUGUAUUUUAUUUAUAGAUUAUAGUUAGAUAUAUAAAGAUUUUAAUUUUAAGAUUAUUUUCGGAUUUAAAUUUAAAAUUUUGAAAUUUUAUUUUUGGGGAUUAAAGUGAAAAAUAUACAAAAUAUAGCGAUCAGGGACCAAAAUAAAAAAUAGUGAAA